rnacentral:rRNA from 1 species
UGCGAAUGGCUCAUUAAAUCAGUUAUAGUUUAUUUGAUAGUACCUUACUACAUGGAUACCUGUGGUAAUUCUAGAGCUAAUACAUGCUAAAAACCCCGACUUCGGAAGGGGUGUAUUUAUUAGAUAAAAAACCAACGCCCUUCGGGGCUCCUUGGUGAAUCAUGAUAACUUAACGAAUCGCAUGGCCUUGCGCCGGCGAUGGUUCAUUCAAAUUUCUGCCCUAUCAACUUUCGAUGGUAGGAUAGUGGCCUACCAUGGUGGUAACGGGUAACGGGGAAUUAGGGUUCGAUUCCGGAGAGGGAGCCUGAGAAACGGCUACCACAUCCAAGGAAGGCAGCAGGCGCGCAAAUUACCCAAUCCCGAUACGGGGAGGUAGUGACAAUAAAUACUGAUACAGGGCUCUUUUGGGUCGUGUAAUUGGAAUGAGUACAAUCUAAACCCCUUAACGAGGAACAAUUGGAGGGCAAGUCUGGUGCCAGCAGCCGCGGUAAUUCCAGCUCCAAUAGCGUAUAUUAAAGUUGUUGCAGUUAAAAAGCUCGUAGUUGAACCUCGGGCCUAGCUGGCCGGUCCGCCUCACCGCGAGUACUGGACUGGCUGGGCCUUCCCUCCUGGGGAACCCCAUGGCCUUCACUGGCUGUGGCGGGGAACCAGGACUUUUACUGUGAAAAAAUUAGAGUGUUCAAAGCAGGCCUUUGCUCGAAUACAUUAGCAUGGAAUAAUAGAAUAGGACGUGCGGUCCUAUUUUGUUGUUUUUCAGACCGCCGUAAUGAUUAAUAGGGAUAGUCGGGGGCGUCAGUAUUCAGCUGUCA